UGAAAAAUAGUUUAAUAAAGAAAAACUAAGGCUUUUGAUGCCUUAAAUAUAAACUCAAAUUUUAUUUUUUCAA
rnacentral:tRNA from 1 species